rnacentral:rRNA from 1 species
AUUGAACGCUGGCGGCAGGCCUAACACAUGCAAGUCGAACGAGUGGCGGACGGGUACGUAAUGUCUGGGCAACUGCCUCAUGGCUGGUGAUAACUACUGGAAACGGUAGCUGAUACCUCAUACCAUCAGAUCUUCCCAGAUGGGAUUAGCUUGUUGGUGGGGUAACGGCUCACCAAGGCGACGAUCCCUAGCUGGUCUGAGAGGAUGACCAGCCAAACUGGAACUGAGACACGGUCCAGACUCCUAGGGGAGGCAGCAGUGGGGAAUAUUGCACAAUGGGGGCAAGCCUGAUGCAGACAUGCCGCGGGGAGGAAGAAGGCCUUCGGGUUGUAAAGUACUUUCAGCGGGGAGGCGUUACCCGCAGAAGAAGCAACGGCUAACUCCGUGCCAGCAGCCGCGGUAAUUC